CCACUCUGUCUGAAAUGGCAGGGCCUUUACACCCAUGCCUGAUUCAGUCACCAGAUACAGGCUGCUCUGAGAAGAGAAUGGUCCUCUGACAAGGCAGCUCCCAGCAGCUAAGGCUGACCCUGAAGGAGCCGCCAGAUGGAGGCAGCCUGCUGACCACACGCCCCACAGCUGGAGAGCAAGACCUUCCUAUGCUUACCAUAGCUGGGACAGGAUGCUUAAUAGCCAAAGGCUGCCUCACCGAAGCCACUGAAUGUGAGAAACACAACUCCCAACAGAAAGAAUUCUAAAUAAGCUUUUUUUGUUCUAGGAAAAUCGUGAGGAAGAGGACCAAAUAAAUGUCUUUUGGACAAUACAACAAUAGGA
rnacentral:lncRNA from 1 species